UACGGAGGGGGCUAGCGUUGUUCGGAAUUACUGGGCGUAAAGGGCACGUAGGCUGGCUGUUAAGUCGGUGGUGAAAUGCUGAGGCUCAACCUCAGAAUUGCCUUCGAUACUGACGGUCUUGAGUGCGGGAGAGGUGAGUGGAAUUCCCAGUGUAGAGGUGAAAUUCGUAGAUAUUGGGAAGAACACCAGUGGCGAAGGCGGCUCACUGGCCCGCAACUGACGCUGAGGUGCGAAAGCGUGGGGAGCAAAC
rnacentral:rRNA from 1 species